AUUAAAACACUGGUUCACAUCUGAACACCAAAGUUAAGCAACGUCAAGCCUAGUCAAUACCGAGAUAGGUGACCACUUGGAAAUCACAGGGUGCUGUAAG